CCUGGUGGCAAUAGCGGAGGGGAAACACCCGUAUGUUUCCGUAAGCCACACCCCUUUGAACCAAUUUGGGUCGGAGGGGCUGUGUUUACGGAAACCCAUUCCGAACACGGCAGUUAAGCCCUCCAGCGCCGAUGGUACUGGGUUUUCCCGGGAGAGUAGGUCGCUGCCAGGA
rfam:Thermacetogenium phaeum DSM 12270, complete genome.